rnacentral:lncRNA from 1 species
AGGCCGAUUCGAGGAGCAAAGGCGUCACGAGCUAGAGAUUUAGUCGGUUCGAGGUGAGUAAUGAUUGUAAAUGAUGCUCUGAGGGUUUGAAACCCCGGAUUUCACAUCGUAAUACUUUAUUGAGGUGAGACACACGCUUGAUGAUGAGUGUGGGGUCAUGCACUAUUGGGGAUUGUGACUUGGUUCGUCCCGAUUGAUGAUUUUAUCGCGUAUUUGGCUGAAACUUAUUUGCUAUCAUCAUGAUUUGGGUUGAUUGCCAUAUUUGGGCUUCGUGCCAACUAUUUGAACCUUUCGGGGAUUUUUAUUACCAUUUCCUCACUAUUUUGACUUAUUACUUAAACUCAGUCCCGUUAUUUUCCACUGUUUUACUACUCAGCCAUUUUUACUCAGUUUUGAGACUUAAAUGAUAUUUUAAAUGAUGUUUUGGGCUGAGAGAUACUGUUUUACUAUUGCCCGAGGGACUUGUGAUUAUUUUUGGACUGAGUAAGGCCGAGGGCCUAGUUGUAAGGAUACACUGGUACUGAUAUGAGGCCGAGGGCCUGAGAUACAUAUAUACGCCACGAGAUGGCUUGAUUGAUAUAACGCCGAGGGCCUAGACUUGAUGCCACAAGAUGGCUUGAUAUUGCGCUUGGGCUGUAAGGGGCCCCUCCCAGAGUCUGUACAUCCCCAGUGAGCGCAGGUGCCCAUUGUGAUGUGAGAUUGAGCCCGAGGGGAUGACAUUGUUCUGAGAUUGAGCUCGAGGGGCUGGUACUAUUUCUGAGAUAUUGCCCGAGGGGCAGAUUUGUUGAUACUGUGCCCGAGGGGCGAACUUCUAUUUGUUUACUUACCUUCAACUACUUGUUUUACUUGUUGAAAAGGGAUUUUUACUUGACUCUUCACUGUUUUACUGUUUUAAGUGAUUCUUUUACUGCUUCAUUAUAGAAUGGCUUGUGCCUUACGUGCUUUCUUACCUUCAGUCAUUAUUUAUAUUUAUUAUUUACUGGGUCGGAGUACUCACAUUACUCCCUACACCAUGUGCAGAUUCAGGUAUCGCUGGUUUCGCUCCUCAGUGUUGAUUUCUCCAGUUCCAGGCGGUAUUCGGAGACUACGUGGUAGUUGUUGGCGUACGAAACCGUGUGUCUCUACUAUCUUGUCAUUUCUAUUUCCUUCAAACAUUUGUACUAGAUAUUGGAUUUAGCAGACUUGUAUCAUGGUCUAUAGAUGCUUGUGACUUGUGACACCCCAGUUAGGGUUGUGUCGGGUUCGACAUUUCCACAUUGUUAUUGUUAUUUCCGCUAUUCAGGGUUAUUAAUCAUGUUUA